rnacentral:rRNA from 1 species
CCUACGGGUGGCAGCAGUGAGGAAUAUUGGUCAAUGGGCGUAAGCCUGAACCAGCCAAGUCGCGUGAGGGAUGAAGGUUCUAUGGAUCGUAAACCUCUUUUAUAAGGGAAUAAAGUGUGGGACGUGUCCUAUUUUGUAUGUACCUUAUGAAUAAGGAUCGGCUAACUCCGUGCCAGCAGCCGCGGUAAUACGGAGGAUCCGAGCGUUAUCCGGAUUUAUUGGGUUUAAAGGGUGCGUAGGCGGCCUUUUAAGUUAGCGGUGAAAGUCUGUGGCUUAACCAUGGAAUUGCCGUUGAAACUGGGGGGCUAGAGUAUGUUUGAGGCAGGUGGAAUGCGUGGUGUAGCGGUGAAAUGCUUAGAGAUCACGCAGAACCCCGAUGGCGAAGGCAGCCCGCCAAGCCAUGACUGACGCUGAGGCACGAAAGCGUGGGGAUCAAACAGGAUUAGAUACCCUUGUAGUC